GACGAACGCUGGCGGCGUGCUUAACACAUGCAAGUCGAACGGAAAGGCCUGCUUUCCCUUGUGGAUUGCGGGUACUCGAGUGGCGAACGGGUGAGUAACACGUGAGUGAUCUGCCCCCAACUUGGGUAUAAGCCUGGGAAACUGGGUCUAAUUCCCGAUAGGACUGCAGGGUGGUGCCUGUGGUGGAAAACGAUUUUCUAGUGGUUGGGGAUGAGCUCGCGGCCUAUCAGCUUGUUGGUGGGGUAAUGGCCUACCAAGGCGGCGACGGGUAGCCGGCCUGGGAGGGGGGAGGGCCCACUUGGUCUUGGAAUACGGCCCUACACCCUCCGGGGGCCUGGGGUGGGGAAUAUGGCACCGAGGGCGGAGGCUGGGGGCGGCGCCCCCGGGGGGGGGAUGACGCCCUUUGGGUUGUAAACUCCUUUGGGCGGCGAGGAAGCCGCCUGGUGGGAAGGGUGGGAAGGGUAGUUGUAAAAAAGGCACCGCCUAACUACGU
rnacentral:rRNA from 1 species